rnacentral:rRNA from 1 species
AUUGAACGCUGGCGGCAAGCCUAACACAUGCAAGUCGAACGAGUGGCGGACGGGUGAGUAAUGUGUGGGAAACUGCCUGAUGGAGGGGGAUAACUACUGGAAACGGUAGCUAAUACCGCAUACCAUCGGAUGUGCCCAGAUGGGAUUAGCUCGUAGGUGGGGUAAAGGCUCACCUGGGCGACGAUCCCUCGCUGGUCUGAGAGGAUGACCAGCCACAUUGGAACUGAGACACGGCCAAGAUGCCUACGGGAGGCAGCAGUGGGGAAUAUGGGACAAGGGGCGCAGGCCUGAUGCAGCCAGGCGGCGUGUAUGAAGAAGGCCUUCGGGUUGUAAAGUACUUUCAGCGGGGAGGCGGUACCUGCAGAAGAAGCACCGGCUAACUCCGUGCCAGCAGCCGCGGUAAUUC